rnacentral:rRNA from 1 species
AAUGAACGCUGGCGGCAGGCCUAACACCUGCACGUCGAGCGGAGCGGCGGACGGGUGAGUAAUGCCCAGGAAUCUGCCUGGUUGUGGGGGAUAACGUCCGGAAACGGGCGCUAAUACCGCAUACUAUACGAAUAGCCUAGGUCGGAUUAGCUGGGUGGUGGGGUAAUGGCCUACCAAGGCGACGAUCCGUAACUGGUCUGAGAGGAUGAUCAGUCCAACUGGAAGUGAGACACGGCCCAGACGCCUACGGGUGGCAGCAGUGGGGAAUAUUGGGCGAUGGGCGAAAGCCUGAUCCAGCCAUGCCGCGUGUGUGAAGAAGGUCGUCGGAUUGUAAAGCUCUUUAAGUUGGGAGGCGUUACCAUCAGAAUAAGCACCGGCUAACUGCGUGCCAGCAGCCGCGGUAAUUC